UGGAUGAAGAAUUGAAACCCUAGCUUUGAUUCUGUAGAAGAGGUAUGAUCUCCAGGGGCCAGGGGGUCUGGUUUUAUAGUCCCUUCAAGUGAAUCUGGGCCGUCGGAUCAAACCGACAUUGAUCGUGUGGUUUUCCUUGAAGUAUUAGGUCGGUGGAGCAUGAUCCCCGAACUUCACCCUGAUUGGUCCAGGGGGGAGGGCGGGCGCCCAGUAAGGGAGGGCGGGCGCCCAGUGCCCGGCUCCGUUACGUCUCCCGUGGCUUCUGGAGUCUUCUAGAUGAUAGAAAAUUGCGCAGCACGUUAAUAUCUCUAUGUAAACCCGACGUGUGGGCCUUUCUUCUGUAUUUCCUGAUAACCCCCUGCAGAAAUAGACAAACACCAAAUCUCGUGGAAUUCUGUCAGAUAAACCCUAAGUCUAGGUGUUGGUUGCAUUUGGAUCCUUUUCUAUGAUUAGUUGAUGGUUAAAUGUGAGCAUUAAGGACCGUCAACAAGCUCCCCCAAGCUUAACCUUUGCUCGUCCCUGAGCAAAGAUGAACUCAAGAGUUUCUGCAGUGGUUUCAUGCCUUAAAGAUACACAUGCGUUUAAACAAGAUCUCAUCUCUAGGUUAGGGUAAACUGUUAAGACUUAAAACUUACUCAUUUACCUUUCACCAUGGGACUUGUAACCGUCACUUUUGUCUUGAGUAGUUAAAAGAUAGAACGGUCUAGUCAAGCACCAUGUCUCUUGUUCUUCGAUUAACUAUAGCUCUGGAGUUUUUGCAAAUUUUCAAAUAAAACUCAGAGAUUCCUUGUAUGAAUCUCUCUAGUCUCUCUUUUGUGGUAUUUCUGGAUCCUUACCAAGGCAUUAAUGGUGUAUGCCUUCUCUCAAAGUAUGUGGUAUUUGUGGUAUAAGGCAUAGUGGCAUUGCCUUCUCUCUCACUCUACUCUAAUAAGGCUUUUGAUAUCUGGAGCUCAUAGGUGGGAGACAUCUAAUACAUACUUACAAAACAUUUAUUGCAUAGUCAAACCAUGGAUCUAGAAGAACAAGUCAAUAAGUCAAAUCAAGAUGUGCAUGUGUGGUGAAUGAAUGGUGUAUGGUGAUGAUGGUGAUAAUGGUGAAAGUCUAAUUCUACUUAUGCUCUUUUGAGGGGAUACAUACCUUUCUUGCUCUUUUGAAACUUUUUUGAGGAGAAUGAGAUGCUCUAUAUUUUCUUUUUCUUUUCUCUCAGGUGGGUAUCUUGUACCCCUAAUUCUACUGUCGGACACUUGUCCAUUUUUACCUCUCGUCUUACUUUUUCUUUUCUUUCAAGGUUCCGGGCACUUGCCCCUUUUUAUUUCCUCGUAUCUUUUUUUUUCUCUCUUUUUUUUCUCUUUUUUUUAGAGCACUCAUCUCUUGAAAUAAUGUAGCAAGUGGUAGUAACAAGAUAACUUGAGCAUUUAUUUCACAAGGGAAAACAGAAAUAUUUUUGGCUAUUCUCUCCCGGAUUAGGAGUAUAAUAUUUUUAGGUGAUUCUAGAGAUGGAAAUGGAUGAAUAUAUGUGGAUGCGUACUUCCGGAGUAGAAGCAGCAUGUGUGAGUGAACGUGCAAGUGAAUCUUGAUUUAACCACAUGACAAGCUCCUAAGGGUCUACACAGCUUGACCACACUCAAUGCUCAUAAGCAGUAAAUAGUAAAUGUGUGGCUCAAAGUCUAGCAAGCAUGUAUAUAUGGCUGUGGUAGGAAUUUAAACUCUCAUCAUACAGGAACUCAUCAUGCAAUAUUUUAAAGAUUUUUCAAAGAUAAAAUUCUCUAGAAUUCUAGCAUCUCUAGGAACAGAUAAACAGCAGCUCAACCUUCCCAUAUCAUAUCCGUUAACGACUUAGACUUCAGAUCAAGUACUCUUCCCACAAGUUCAGGUUUAGAGCAAAUCUUAAUUAAUAACAGUUAGGCCUAAACUUGAGAGAGAUUUCAAUUUUGAGAACUAGUCAUGGCAGAGCAACUAUUCAUCAUUUCCAUAUGAGAGCUUAUCAUGAGGGUUCAUAGCAGACUUUAUUUAUUUAUUUAUUUAGCAAACUAAUCAAAGAUAUAUAUAAGUACAAAAUCUUUAUUUGGGUUAUUAUGAUUAUGCAUCUUUUUAUUAUUUGAGUAAACUAUAAACGUGAGUAGAACACUUAGCUGGAUAAAUGGGGGUGCUCUCCCCCAAGCUGGAUUUUGACGUAAUUUCUUCUGAUGUAGAUAGCAGGUGGUGGAGUUGUAUUUGAAUGCCGGCAACAUCCUGACAGCAAUUAGGAUGUCCUCCGUCUGCUAGUCUUCUUUGAUCCUUGAAAUCUGUGGAGCUCAAAUAGACAACAAAGCUUUGUGGAACUAGUUAAGUGUUAGCAUAAAUAUCUAGCCUUUAUCAUGUUGAGUCUCCUCAAUAAAUGUUACUCUCUUUAGUAGGAUCAUAAAUUUAUUUUUAUAUUUUCAUUUUUAUAGGACAGGAAUAUAUUUAUUUUAUUUUUUUCGCCACCACAGUGAAUGUACUUAUGGGUUUUAUGCCAUGAGCAUACUCACAUGGGGCUUACUAUUUUAAACAUUUUUAUUUUAUUUUCAAGAUGAUAUGAACCUGAUUAACUAAAAUAAUUGAAAGGAAAAAGAUAACUACCAAGUUUACCUCUUGGCAAGGCGUUCGGUGUUUUUAAGUCCUCUGAACGGGACUCUCCAUAUUCUCAGUCGUCCUGGGAUUCGUUGGAUGGCAUAGUCGGUGGUUCCGGCGGCGCCUCCUUUUCGUGUAUAACUAUCUUCUCUCUACACAGCUGACUCGGUGCUAUGGUCUCCUCAGGACAGUUCUGUUCAAGUUGUAUGUCUUCAGACCUUACUACUUCUCCUUCGUAGUCACCCAUCUGUCGUUGAUGAUUUGCCUCCUCUGGUUGCGGUUGCGUCGUCUUCUUCUUGUCCUGACCUGCUUAGAGUUUUCAACUAUAUGGUUAGGGUCAGUAAAAUAGAAGCGUACCUUCUCAGAGGGGAAAUGCAUGUGGACUUCUCCAGUUCCAAUGUAGAUGAUUGCUUUAACGGUGCUGAGGAACGGUCUUCCAAGGAUGAUGGGUGGAUCGUACUUGUCUUCAAUCUUUUGGAAUGUCUGAUCUGCCAUCUUGAGCUGAAUGUAUGUCGGUUUCAGGGGCAUGGUUCCGAAUAGGAGCUGAUAGGUGACUGGGUCAUCCUUUUUGGUCAGGAACGGUGACUUAAGUCGACGGUCUUGACCUCCUUGAACUGCAGUGACCAUCUUAGCUGACUUGGUCCACAUUUGCUUGUUCCUGUUCCUCCUGUUGGUCCUUCCUUGGUUCAUGUCAGGAUUGCUCUAAGAUUUGUGUAGUCUUGUUCUUGAAGGAAAACGUCUCCGUCCUUCCCUUGAUGUAGAAACUGAUCUUGGCAGCACUAGCAUAGAUGACAGCUCCCGAGGUGUUCAGGAAUGGCCUGCCUAGGAUGAUCGGUGCCCUCUGAUCAGUAUCAGUCUCUAUCACCACGAAGUCUGUUGGAGCGUAUAAGGUACCAACUCGGACGUAGAGGUUCUUCAAUAUUCCCUUUGGGAAACUUAGUGUCUGAUCUGCAAGCUGCAAACACAUGGUUGUUUCUAGUAAAGGAUGUGUAAAGAAUUUUUCGUAGAGUACCCUGGGCAUAAUGUUGACGCUGGAGCCAACGUCGCAGAGUGCUUCUAGGAAGUCCACCAUGCCGAUGGAGAUCGGGAUGACGGGGCAUCCUAGAUUGUCUCUCUUGACCGGUAGAAGGUCAGUAAAUACUUCCACCACGUGGUUACUCCAGUAGUUACAUCCUCAAGCAUCUCAGGGCAGUGUUUGCAUGAGUGUCCAGUAUCUCCAGCGUGUUUGUGCUCAUAUAUCUAGGUUCUUCACUUGGUGGAGUCUGGGAGUUGUAAAACUCCUUCAUAUUUUGCUUGAAGUGUACCUACUCAUAGAGACAAGGCGGAGAUCAAGUGCAUGAGCCCUGUUGGUGGAAAACACCAACAGAACCAAAAGUGUAUUUGUUCUUCUCUAACCUCAAGCAUAGUGAGCAAGACAAAGUUGAUGGAUAAUAAAAUCAUGAGUGUAGUAUUUAACAUUUGUCAGAUUAGAUUGCUCAACCUUAUGGAAAGAUAAUCUAUCUAUAUAUGUUUUGUUUAUAUCUUCCAAAGAUUGAGUGUGCAACAUUUUAGCUAAUAUGAUUAGGAGUGUGGAAUCACAAAGGUGGAAGGACUAAACAUGUUGAAUUGAUUGGGUUGGUUAAUCUAGAGUUGUAGAUCAUACAUGUUUGUCUCAUUUAUUCAUGUGAACGCCAAAAGCAAGGAGAAGCUUAUAAAAGUGAUAGUUAAGUACCUUAAGAUGUUACCUUACUUGAAGAGUGAUGGUAUAAUAUCACAUUGUGGAAGCUUUCCUCUCUUAGCGGUUGUGCAUCGUGUUUGUGGCACCUCCAUGGAUCAUCUCUUGUGAGCUAUGCCUUCCUUGUGUAAAUUGUUAAACUUCAUGUGUGUCUCUCUUUGUCUCCAAUGUGAGUUUAUCUCAGGACUUCCCAGGUCGAUAUUGAAAGUUUUCCUGCAGGGGUUAGUCCAACAAAAUAUACCAAUGUCUACACAAGCAGUUUUUAGUUCAAUAACCAAACUAGACUCCAUGUCUAAUUAGAUUAAGGAAGGUUGUUUAACCUAAGCACCAUGCUUAAUUUAAAAACCAAUAGAAGUAUGUACAGUACUUCCAAACUAACACUUACUAGGAUAAACAAAGGUAGCGUGAUGGCUUUUAUAGAGAUCUACUCAAGUGGAGAUGAAGUAGUGUGAUUACUAUUUAACAAAUUGAGCAUGUCUCAAAGGUAGGGACAACCAACAUAGCAACAUGGCAAAUGAUGUUUUUAUAUAAAGUACUCCCCCAAGCUUGAAUUUUGCAAAAUUCAAGUUUGGAUGAAUUUAAUUCAAUGUUGUAUGAUGAUUGGUUGUACAUACCUUGUGCUUGUCAUUCAUCCGAUCUUUUUGCUCCAAUCCUAGAAAGGUUAGUGACAAGAAUAUCCGAAGGAUUUUUUUUACAAUUAUCCUUAUAUGCUCAAUACACAAGGUAGUGCUGCAAAAAAUUAAAAGCUUAUGUUACGAUCUGAUCAGUGCUUAUUUUAGGACACUAAGCUUGUCCUUGGGAAACCAUUAAUUUAUGUCAGCGAAGUGGUUUCCCCUCCAACUCUGACCUAUAUCAAGAUCAACUCAACGAGAUCUGCGAUAUUUAUUAUAGACAUAUGCAUCGACAACCUCCCUUUUAAAGUUUUUAUAAAUAGAAAGGAAGUGGGGGUUGGAGAUCUCGAAUGUGGUGAUGUUGGAGAGACCAAUGGAUUGUGAAGAUGUUGCAUAUGAGCAUGGAGUAAGUGAAGUGGCUAUGAAAUAAAUCCAUGCUCAUUAAUGCUUAGAGUGAAAUCCAUGUGGUGUGGUGAAAAUGGUAAGGUGACUGUGGUAAAAAAAAAGAAAAAUGAUACACGGACGACUUGGUUCGAAACUAGCACAGCUACCGUUCCCCGGCAACGGCGCUAGAAAGCUUGUUGGGUAUUUUAAACGCAAACAGAAAAAUCCGCAAGCGCACGGAUACCGAUGUAGCCUUCACCCGGGAGUAUUCCAGAGUAUCGAUUUUUCACAGAGAACGUGAGUGUACUAAUUAAGAUCCAAGAUCGCCCAAGGAUAACUAUAUGAUUAUUUUUGGUGGGAAGAGAGGAAGUUUCCUGAGAGUUCUCUAGUUGAUCUAAGAAUCAAGAAUUACUUCAAGAUUAUCUAUAUCGGGACAUCAGAACACUAACCACAGAAAGAGAUGAGAAGGGGGCUAGGAAGCUCCGACUACGGUCCUACAAACACCGAUCCGAACGAGGUGGAAUACGUCGACCGUUAGGGCUGUCACUACCCUAAGGCUACCACAACAAUCCGCAGGAUUGGGUGCAAUUCCAGGUAAUUGCAAGACUAAACACCACGUCUAAUCUAUUAAUUACUACUCUAAUGUUUCAAAGAUUAGAGCACUUGAUGCAAGCGGGAAUCCAAUAAAUAACUUGAAUGUAAAUAAAAGUAAUUAGAGAACUCAGGAGUUAUGAGUUGAAGAACCUGGAGAACGAUGAAGAACGAACCAGAUGCUGCAAAAGUACAAUGUUGAGGAAGAUCCGACAGAUCCGGCUCCUCCUCCGCUCUCCUCUUCUCUCUCCCUAUUUUCUAGAUUACAACUAGAACUAACUAGAACUAGAACUAGAGGAACUAGAACUAGAACUAGAUGAACUAGAACUAGAUCUAGAUGAACUAGAGGUAGAACUAGAAGAACUAGAGGGAUCCUCUCUACUUGGAUGAAGAAUUGAAACCCUAGCUUUGAUUCUGUAGAAGAGGUAUGAUCUCCAGGGGCCAGGGGGUCUGGUUUUAUAGUCCCUUCAAGUGAAUCUGGGCCGUCGGAUCAAACCGACAUUGAUCGUGUGGUUUUCCUUGAAGUAUUAGGUCGGUGGAGCAUGAUCCCCGAACUUCACCCUGAUUGGUCCAGGGGGGAGGGCGGGCGCCCAGUGCCCGGCUCCGUUACGUCUCCCGUUCGGUCCCGUGGCUUCUGGAGUCUUCUAGAUGAUAGAAAAUUGCGCAGCACGUUAAUAUCUCUAUGUAAACCCGGCGUGUGGGCCUUUCUUCUGUAUUUCCUGAUAACCCCCUGCAGAAAUAGACAAACACCAAAACUCGUGGAAUUCUGUCAGAUAAAACCCUAAGUCUAGGUGUUGGUUGCAUUUGGAUCCUUUUCUAUGAUUAGUUGAUGGUUAAAUGUGAGCAUUAAGGACCGUCAACAAGGGGUAGUGCAAUAGAUUUUGUUAGUCAGAUGCACCCUUUCUCCCAGUGGUAAAAAUAUAAAUACGAUACUCUGGAAAACCUCCCGGGUGAAAUGCUCACCGAUAUCCGUGUGCUUGCGGAUCAUUUCCUUAUUGCGUUACCAAAUAUCAACAAGCAUUUUUGGCGCCGUUACCGGGGAGAAAGACGGUUUGCUGAGAUAACUUUUAGUCUUACUAUUAUCUUGUAUUAUACUUUUAUACUUUUAUUCUUUUAUCUUUUUAUUUUUUCCAUCUUUAUGGAUAACUCAAAUUCCACACCUAUUAUUGAAUUUUUUGCACCUUCGAAGACCAGCCAUAGACCAUGGGAGUCAACAAGUCCUGCCCAUAAUUACGAUCUGCGUCCGGAGUUUAUUGCAAUAGGUCAAAACCAACCCUUUUCUAUAGCUGAGGUCCUAUCUUUUAAUGAAGAAGGUAAUGAACUUUUAGCUACACCUAGGGAAUCUUUUAAUCUUUCAAUAAAUUAUGGUUUAAACCUAGCCCUACAAGACCAUAUUUUUUCCCGAUAUUUUCACAUUGGUCUUAAUCAUAUAACCUUUGGUAGAGUCUUUCUUUCUUUAUCUAUUAGUAAAGGAAGGUAUGUCUUCAUUUGUGGACAUCCUUCUUGCACUAGUCUUCAUAAAAAUAUCCUAGAGAUAGAGAAGGAAUCAUCUCCCAGACAAGGAAAGGAAGUUUCAAUAGCCUAUUUCCAAACAUUUCAAUCCCAUAAUUCGGCUAGCCAACCCAUCCUUGAGCUUAAUAAUUUCUACUAUGCUCUUUCUCUUGAACCUCCCAAUGAUCCUAUGAACCUCUCUAGACAUCCCAUUCAUAAGAGUCACCAAGACCACAAGGAGGAUCGAGAAGAGCAACAUCAAUGGCUAGAGGGCAUUAAAAAUCCAUGUGCUAUCACCAUUGAAUGGAUAGAUAAAACAAACUUGAGAGACAAUCCUAGGGGAUUUUAAGCAUUCAUGAAGAAUCAUCCUUGGAGUUUGAGAAUGAGAGAAACAACAGUGAGCAUGGAAGUUAUUUCAUAAAUACCUCACCAAGUCCUUGCUCAUAUAAAACAUCUCCCCAAUCAAUUGGUCUCUCCAACCUUACCACAUUCGAGAUCUCCAACCCUCUCUUCCUUUCUAUUUAUAACAACUUUAAAAGAGCGGUUGUCGAUGCAUAUGUCUAUAAUAAAUAUUGCAGAUCUCGUUGAGUUGAUUGAUGGUUUCCCAAGGACAAGCUUAGUGUCCUAAAACAAGCACUGAUCAGAUUGUGACAUGAACUUCUAAUUAUUUGCAACAUUGCCUUGUGUAUUGAGCAUAUAAAGAUUAUUAUAGAAAUAUUCCUUCGGGUAUUCUUGCCACUAAUCUUUCCAGGAUUGGAGCAAGAAGAAUGACAAGCACAAGGUAUGUCCAACCAACCAUCACACAACAUUGAAUUAAAUUCAUCCAAACUUGAAUUUUGCAAAAUUCAAGCUUGGGGGAGUACUUUACAUAAAAACAUCAUUUGCCAUGUUGCUAUAUUGGUUGUCCUUAUCUUUGAGACAUGCUCAAUUUGUUAAAUACUAAUCACACUACUUCAUCUCCACUUGAGUAGAUCUCUAUAAAAGCCAUCAUGCUACCUAUGUUUAUCUUAGUAAGUGUUAGUUUGGAAGUACUGUACAUACUUCUAUUGGCUUUUAAAUUAAGCAUGGUGUGUAGGUUAAAUAACCUUCCUUAAUCUGAUUAGACAUGGAGUCUAGUUUGGUUACUGAACUAAAAACUGCUUGAGUAGGCAUUGGUAUAUUUUGUCGGACUAACCCCUGUAGGAAAACUUUCAAUAUCAACCUGGGAAGUCCUGAGAUAUAAACUCACUGGAGAUAAAGGAGACACAUGAAGUUUAACAAUUUGCACAAGAAGGACAUAGCUCAUUCAUCAUAAAGAGAUGAUCUAUGGAGGGUACCACAAACACGAUGCACAACCGCUAAGAAAGGAAAGCUUCCACAAGGUGAUACUAUACCAUCACUCUUCAAGUAAGGUAACAUCUUAAGGUACGCGACUAUCACUUUCAUAAGCUUCUCCUUGGUUCUGGCAUACACAUGAAUAGAAGAGACAAACAUGUAUGAUUUGUAGCUCCAAAUUAACCAACCCAAUUAAUUCAACAUGUUUAGUCCUUUAAUCUUUGUUCUUAGUACUACCUUCGUGAUCCCACACUCCUAAUCAUAUAAGCUAAUAUGUUGGACAUUCAAUCUUUGGAAGAUAUAAACAAAACAUAAAUAUAGAUAGAUUAUCUUUCCAUUAGGUUGAGCCAUCUGAUCUGACAAAUGCUACACUCAUGAUCCAUCAACUUUGUCUUGUUCACUAUGCUUAAGGUUAGAGAAGAACAAAUACACUUUUGGUUCUGUUGGUGUUUUCCACCAACAGAGCCCAUGCACUUGAUCUCUGCCUUGUCUCUAUGAGGAGGACAUAUUUUGAGAAACGUGAAGGAGUUUUACAACUCCCAGACUCCACCAAGUGAAGGACCUGGAUCUAGAAGCACAAACACACUAAGCAGGAUAUUGCCAACACCGCACUUCGAAUUGCUGGGCAAACAAAGAACAUGGGUGACUCCGUAUCAAGAGGUGCAGACGUCAAGGUCCACACCUAAUCAAAUGAUGCACCUAAAGGAUGAAGACGGUGAGAAGUCUUGUCCAGAAGACUUAAAACAUUGGAUCCUUGUCAGAGGAGGUCAAGAUCGUCGACUCAAGUCGCCUUUCCUGAUCAAGAAGGACGACCCUGGUGUUCCAAGCAUCAAGUGCACAAUCAAUGGAUACUCUUUUCAGAAGACACUCUACGACACCGGAUCUGACGACAACAUAAUGACCGUAGCCACUUAUCAGUUCCUGCAUGGAACCAUGCUCCUACAACCAAGAUACAUUCAACUUCAGAUGAUUUUCAGGUCAUUAACAUGGGAGAAGACGAGUACGAUCCACCCAUCAUCCUUGGAAGACUGUUCCUCAACACUAUCAAAGUUAUCAUCUAUAUUGGAACCGGAGAAGUCCACAUGCACUUUGCCUCUAAGAAGGUACGCCGCUAUUUUACUGACCCUAACUAUAUAGUUGAAGAUUCUAAGCAGGUCAAGACAAGAAGAAGAUAACGCAACCGCUACCAGAGGAGGCAAAUCAUCAAGGAUGGAUGGGUAGACUACGAAGGAGAAGUAAUAAGGUCUGAAGACAUAUAGCUUGAACAGAACUGUCCUGAGGAGACUGUAGCACCGAGUUAGGUGUGGAGAGAGAAGAUAGUUACACACGAAGAGGAGGCGCCGUCGAAACCACCGACUACACCAUCCAGCGAAUCCCCGGACGACUGAGAAAACGGAGAGUCUCGUUCGGAGGACUUAAAAACACUGAAUGCCUUGCCAAGAGGUAAACUUGAUAGUUAUCCUUUUUCCUUUCAAUUAUUUAUAGCUUGUUUAGUUAAUCAGGUUCAUGCUAUCUUAAAAAGAAAAUAAAAAUGUUAAAAAACAGUAAGCCCCAUGUGAGUAUACGAGUGGCAUAAAACCCAUAAGUACAUUCACUGUGGUGGCAUAAAAAUAAAAUAAAUAUUUUUUCUGCUCUAUAAAAAAUGAAAAUAUAAAAAUAAGGUUAUGAUCCUACUAAAGAGAGUAACAUUUAUUGAGGAGGGUCAUCAUGAUAAAGGCUAGAUAUUUUAUGCUAACACUUAACUAGUUCCACAAAGCUUUGUUGUAUAUUUGAGCUCCACAGAAUUCAAGGAUCAAAGAAGACUAGGAGACGAAGGACAUCCUAAUCGCUGUCAGGGUACUGCCGACAUUCAAAUACACCUCCAUCACCUGUUAGCUACAUCAGAAAUUACGUUAAAAUCUAGCUUGGGGGAGAGCAACCCCGUUUAUCCAGCUAAGUGUUCCUACUCGCGUUUAUACUUUACUCAAAUAAUAAAAAGAUGCAUAAUCAUAAAAAACCCAAAUAAAGAUUUUGUGCUUUUAUAUAUAUCUUUGCUUAGUUUGCUAAAUAAAUAAAGUUUGUUAUGAACCCUUAAGAUAAGCUCUCACAUGGAAAUGAUAAAUAGUUGCUCUGCCAUGACUAGUUCUUAAAAUUGAAAUCUCUCUCAAGUUUAGGCAUGACUGUUAUGAAUUAAGAUUUGCUCUAAACCUGAACUUGUGGGAAGAGUACUUGAUCUAAAGUCUAAGUUGUUAACGGAUAUGAUAUGGGAAGGUUGAGCUGCUGUUUAUCUGUUCCUAGAGAUGCUAGAAUUCUAGAGAAUUUUAUCUUUGAAAAAAUCUUUAAAAUAUCACAUGAUAAGUUCCUGUACGAUUAGAGUUUAAAAUCCUACCACAGCCAUAUAUACAUGUUUAUUAGACUUUGAGCCACACAUUUACUUUUUACUGCUUAUGAGCAUUGAGUGUGGUCAAGCUGUGUAGACCCUUAGGAGCUUGUCAUGUGGUUAAAAUCAAGAUUCACUUGCACGUUCACUCGUAUAUGCUGCUUCUACUCCGGAAGUACGUAUCCACAUACAUCCACUCAUUCCCAUCUCCAGAGCCACCCAAAAGCAUUCUACUCCUAUCCGGGAGAGAAUAGCCAAAAAAUAUUUUUCCUAUCCCUGUUAUUCCCUGUGAAAUAAAUGCUCCAGUUAUUUUGGUUACUACCACUUGCUACAUUAUUUUAGGAGAUGAGUGCUCUAAAAAAAAGAAGAAAAGAAAAAAAAGAGAGAAAGGAUAUGAGGAAAUAAAAAGGGGCAAGUGCCCGGAACCUCAAAGAAAAGAAAAAGUAAGACGAGAGGUAAAAAUGGAUAAGUGUCCGACAGUAGAAUUAGGGGUACAAGAUACCCACCUAAGAGGAAAGAAAAAGAAAAUAUAGAGCAUCUCAUUCUCCUUAAAAAGCUUCAAAGUGCAAGAAAGGUAUGUAUCCCCUUAAAAGAGCAAAAGUAGAAUUAGACUUUCACCAUUGUUAUUACCAUCAUCACCAUACACCAUUCAUUCGCCACACAUGCACAUCUUGAUUUGACUUAUUGACUUGUUUCUCUGGAUCCAUGGUUUGACUAUGCAAUAAAUGUCUUGUAAGUAUGUAUUAUCUGUCUCCCACCUAUGAGCUCUAGAUAUCAAAACCUUAUUAGAGUAGAGUGAGAGAGAAGGCAAUAUCACUAUGCCUCAUACCACAAAUACUACAUACUUUGAGAGAAGGCAUAUACCAUCACUGCCUUGGUACGGAUCUAGAAAUACCAUAAAAGAGAGAUUUGAGAGAGUCAUACAAGGAAUCUCUGAGUUUUAUUUAAAAAUCUGCAAAAACUCCAGAGCUAUAGCUGAUCAAGAAUAAGAGACAUGACGCUUGACUUGACCGUUCUAUCUUUUAACUGCUCAAGACACAAGUGAUGGUUACAAGCCCCAUGGUGAAAGGUAAAAUGAGUAAGUUUUAAGUCUUAACAGUUUAUUCUAACUUAGAGAUGAGAUCUUGCUUGAAUACAUGUGUACUUUUAAGGCAUGAAACCACUGCAGAAACUCUUGAGUCCAUCCUUGCUCAGGGACAAGCAAGAGGUAAGCUUGGGGGAGUUGUUGACGGUCCUUAAGUACCAAUUAUAAUCAUCAAAUAAAUAAAGAAAAGGAUCCAAAUGCAACCAACAUCCAGACUUAGGGUUUUAUCUGAUAGAAUUCCACGGGUUUUGGUGUUUGUUUAUUUCUGCAGCGGGUUAUCAGGAAAUAAGGAAGAAAGGCCCACACGUCGGGUUUACAUAGAGAUAUUAACGUGCUGCGCAAUUUUCUAUCAUCUAGAAGAGUCCAGAAGCCACGGGAACGAACGGGAGGCCGCACGGGCCCGGGGGCAGGGCGCCCGCCCUCCCCCCUUGGGCGCCCGCCCUGGUACAAGCACCAAUCACAGAAUGGAGUACACCAUUACAAAGAUCUUGUCGAGCUAAUCAAAAUGCAUAUAUUAUUUGCUAUAUUUGGAGUUCGGAAUCAAGAGAUAUUAUGUGGCAGAACCCCCUAAGUGUUUGGGCCCACCGGCACCUGUCAUUGUCCUAAGGACCUCUGACGGCGAUGCCGGGGAUCCUCCCACUUUAGAAGUCCGAUGAGCAUCGCUGGAUGCUCAUCCCACUGCUACCUGUGGCGUGCCAAGCCGGCUCGUCCUGACCACUGGUGAUGGUCAAUUAACGAGAACUUCUUCUUCUCGCCCUUACAGGAUAGCAAGUGGCCACCUUAACACCAGGAUCAUUCGUUGCGAAGACAUUGCAGAACCACAAACGACAUACGACCAAAAUAAUAUUUCAGAGUAAAACAGCGGAAGUAUUACAUAACUUAUUUUACAAAAGGAGUUCUUCCAAGUAGCAGAGUGUUAUUACAAACCAGGUCCAGCGGAGCAACUUAAACUUUAGUACCGAGAUUACAAAUUUACAGACCCUGCCCAAGGGUCACGCUCACUCUUCUUCGUCGUCAACCUCGACGACAGUCACACAACAGGGUCCGAAACAAGUCGGCUCCUGACAAUCACCUGCAACAGGGGGUUGGAAAACCCUGAGUACGGGAGUACUCAACAAGACUUACCCGGUGGAAAAAGAGGAGAACUUAGGAAUGCAGGCUUAGGGUAAACAAGGAGUGGCUGAGCAAGGAGCCAAAGUGCUUUGCUAAAAAGCUUACUAAUAGUGCAUCCUUACUUUCAAGUUUUACCUGCGAAUUCCUCUCCCGUCGAGGCCGAGGAGUUCGAGGACAGUCUACCUAGUUGUUUCCCCACAGACGAGUCUGUGAGUUUCUAGUCCUAAAAUAAAGUAUUAUUUAUUCGAUGGCCAUAGCUUCAUGUCGCUAUGAGUCCGGGAAUUGGGAUCCGAACCUCAUGAGACAUUUCCCCUUUCUCAUUUUACCAAUUAGUUGCAUAAUUAACUACGAUGAGGGGCAGUGGAUUGAGUCUCCCAAUCGGGGAGCAACGACGAUUCGAACCGCUUAGCAAUCCAGCUGGAGUUCCUAACCACCCGACAUAUGUAGAACCAAAACUUGCAUAUGUCAACCCAACUCAAGCUCUCCCCAAAUUUGACCAGGUUCGCGGCACUCGAGAGCACAGUACUCCACCGUCCUACAGCCGAUCUAGAUGUUUUCCGGCCAUCCCAGAUCCGUAAGGUGGGUACACACUACUCUCGCCAUCUUUCCACUCCCAGUGCGCGAGUAGCUGUUCGCGUCGAGGGAUCACAAGACCGGGCUUACCGAGGGCAAGUGGCUAGUACUAUAAAUUCUCAACCCAGCGGGCCAUCAACGGACUGGUCCUUAACCGACACAGUUGGAGACACUACUUUAAGACUCCAUUCUUAAAGCAAGUCCACCGACCGGUCUCAGAUUAAAACAUCAUUGAUCAUAAAUGUAUUCCACAACAACCCUUCAAACUUUCUUAUUUGAAAACCUAUCUAGUAGCAGGGCUAAGCAUCACUACGCAGUUUUAAAAUGAACAGGUGUCAAGGACAGGAUAACAGAUAUCAAGGUAGUAAAUGCAGCAAGUAGGUUAACCCAAUUCUCAACUAACUAAUGCAGCAUUUUCAAUUCAUAAGUGAUAAAAGAUUUAAAACAUUCAAGGAGGGGUUAAUGCAUCCGGGGCUUGCCUUGGUUGCAGGGCAGAGAGGGACCCUCGGAGACUUCCCAAGUCUCGGAUCCGACUUCCUCGAACGGAGCACCGACCUCGGGGUUUGGUUCAACGGGCGCUCCUUCGGUCACGGAUACUAUACGCAAAAUGAUGAAUGCUCAUGAUAUGCGUAUGACAAUUAUGCAAGAAGGAUUAAGUCGAGUACAACUUGCCUUCUUGGUGCAAUACAGAAUAAACCACAAAUAAAAUUGUUUUUACCCAAGAGGUUGCAUUUAUAACCUAAGACUUCUUUUAAUUUGUAAUUAUCUUAAAUUAACUAAUAAUUAAUCCUUUUAUCUUAAUUAAUUCUUAAUUAAUUACUAAUGAUAGCAAUUAAGCAUUAAGGCCAAACAAUAAUUAAAUGCCAAGGGUCAUUAGGGUUAAUGACCUCAGGUCAUCACAUAAUCCCAAAAUCACUCAAACCCUAAUGAUGAAGAUUUCACUAAUUAUUGUUUAAUUAUUUUGGAAUUAUUACUUAAGUACUAAAUAAGGGUUUAUUAAUAUUUUAAUCAAACAUUAUCCAAAUGCCACCAAAUUUUGUGUGGAGCCAGGAAAUAAUAUUCAGAGGCUCCCCACAAUUUUUGGUGAUUUUUGGACAUCCUAAUAAAUUACUAAAAUUCCUAGAAGUUUUAUUCACUAAUUAAAGAGCCAAUUUUUAUAGACAUGCAAACUACCAGAAAAACAAUACCUAGUAUUUUUCUUAUGCUCUAAACAUUUUAUGGAAGCUAUACAAAAAUUCUCAUGAUUUUUGGAUCAGCACAGAAUUUACUAUUUGAAUUCAAACAUCAAACACUUUUAAACAAAAAGGAAAAAGAAAAAGGGCACUGUACGCUGGGGCCUGCUUGGACGCGGCCCACUCUGGCCCGAGCGCUUCCCGCGCCCAGCGCCCUCUCCCUCUCUCUCUCACGCGGUCGCUGACGGGCGGGUCCCGCCCGUCAGCUCCGUCUCCUUCCUAGCGCCGCGGCUCCGGCGAGCUCCAGCAUGCCGUCGGCGAGCUCUCGGCCUCCGCGGUGAGAUGCGUUAGCUUCCUCAACCUCCCGCGCACCUAGGGACACCCUUUUCUCCCACUCUCCUCUAUCCUAACCCCCGUGACCACGGGCACGGCGGACGGCCGCCUCGGCCGAGCAAACGCCGGCCACUACGAGCGAGUAGAGCGUGACUUGAGCAGCGCAAAAGCACCAGGGGCUCACCACGACUUCAACCGAGCAAGAAGUGGCAGCGGAGAGGCUCCGGUUGACGCUGGCCACGGUGACGUGCUCGCGGCGGCGCUCGGCCGGAGUUGAGGAGGGAAACGGCUCGGGUAGGAGCUACGGUAGGAUAGAGCGUGUGUUUGGGGGUGCAAUCGGUGGCGGGGCUUAAGGCGGAGCUGCUGGGGUGCUCAAAUGGCUUGGAACGGCAACGGGGAAGACGAAUUUUGGCGGCGGGUGGUGGUGGUCGGCGGUGAGGUUCAAAGAGAGGAAAAGAAAACUCCGGCCACCCGAGGCUUUAUAAAAGCGGCGGAACAGGGGAUGUGGAUGAGGCCGUCCGCGCGAAGCACAGCAGCAAGCAGCUGCGUGGCCAGCUGCGUGGCGGCGUGCGCGGAGGCGGCUCUGCCCCGGCGGCAGAGCACCCCCCCUGCCGAACACUGUAGCGAGCCACAUCCCCUCAGUUUGACUUUUUGUGAAAUCCACUCAAAAUUUGAACUGAGCACAAAAUUCAACCAAAACAAAAGUUGUGCACAAUUUUGUGAGCUACAAAACAUGUUUUGGUGACCCAAGCCAAUUUUGAGUGGAACAAGGUUAAUUUGGCCAACUAGUUUGGAAAUCAAAACUCAAUUCAAAUGAAUUCAAAUUUUUUGAAUUGGGGCAAAUCAGAAUUUCCAAAAUUACUUUUGUUUUUCCUAAACAACUUGAAAAACUCCCAACAUGAAAGUUGUCCAACUUUUUGUGCUCCACAACUUUCGUGUUGACCAAUUUUCAAAAUUCCAAAUGGAUUUUGAAUUGGAGGUUCAAAUUGGAAAAGGGGACAUUUUCUGGAAAUCUGUAUUUUCAAAAUUACUUUGAAUUUUGUAUUGAAACUUCAAAAACUCAAAACACCAAAGUUGUACAUCUUGACAAGAUCUACAACUUUGCCUUUGAACUCAACCUCAAAUUUUGCUUAGUUUUCAAGUUGUGCAAAAGGGGGCAAAUCUAGGGUUCCAAAAAUCAGGGUUCCCCCCCUUAGCUUUUCGGAAAACUUCCACCCUAGGGUUUUAGCAACCACACAAGCAUCAACACACAACAUAAGCACAUUCUACUUCCCUAAGCACAAGCAAUCAAAAUAAACUUGUUUUAAGUUGAUGCAUAAUAAUGUGCUUAACAAACAUGCUUUGCAAUGCAUGUGAUGACAUGAUCCGUUUUUAGUAACCGUAACAUCGGGGAUGUUACAUAUUAAUAAAAGGACUCCACAUAAAAGAGAUACGGGAUUAAUUGGGCCCAAAUCAGAUUUUGGUCCAUUAAAGCCUAUGUGCAUUUUAAUGAGAUAUGGUGGAAAGUUUAGUACCACAUCGUCUGCUGAACCAAAAAUGCACAGAGGAGGAGGACUAUAUAAGCAGACCCCCUGGCCCCUGCAGGAGAACAAGUUCAUCAUAGAGUUGAGAGGAGCCCUCGAAGGAAUACCUCUCCUCUAAAUAAAUAUUUAUUUUAGGCUUAGCAUCCAAUGUGAGUAGAAUUAGAUCUUUUAGUUUCUACUAGAUUGAGAGAUAUAGAGUGGAGGUGUAGAUCGGAGGAAGCUCGGCUUGUCGGUGUCUACUCCGAGGUUGUACCUGCGGGAUCAAGUCUCCUAACCCGAGGCUUGCUCCUAGGAUUCUUCAGUAAUUCGACUUCUAAUUCUAGUAAGUUCUUGUUUUAUUGUUCUUUGGUUUAUGAGUUUACUUUAAUCUCUUCCGGUUGAGUAUUAGAGUAAUCAUUGCUAGUGUAAAUAUGGUGUUUAGGCUAGGGUACUCAUAGAUAUCCCCUGACUAGCUGGACCGUGGUAGUAGCGAGGAACGUGACAUUUCCGAGUUACCUUUGUAGACCAUAUCUCGUUAGCAGGACGGGUAGGUUUAUAGGUGCGGGUCGAACAUCCUUUGUGGUGUCUAGAUUCCGUAAGCUUCCCCAAUAGAACAGUAGAUCAUCGUUACCAAGGUUAGAACGAGACUACGGUUGCUGUAACAGAACCGACCAAAUUAUAAGAGAUUAAGCCUAACAGUGACCAUUUGCAUAGUCAAACCGUCACGCUUAAGCCCAUAUAAUCCCGGUAGUCCGUGAAAUCUCGAAGGAUUUCAAAACACACAUCGCACAACAGCCAAGAUCGUAAUAAGUUUAGCGGUCGCCAUUCACAAAUACAUCCAGAUUACAACAUUCGUACAAUACAUCGGAGUUCUUAAAAUUAUUACAAACCAAGUUCUUCAAGUAGCGGAAGCUUCAUAGUUCGAAAAUACAACGCACACGCUUAGUCUGAUACAGUGCCAUAGUUCGGUCAUUCCCACAAAAGCAAAAGAAGAGACGGAGUGACCAUCGCCCUUGGUCUAGUCAUCACCCAUGGCUGGGUACAGACAGAGGAUGCAAUAACCAUAGUACAUUUGACCAUCUGCAAAACAACAUGGGAGUAGAACCCUGAGUACGAGAAGGUACUCAGCUAGACUUACCCGUCAUAAACUUAAAAUAAAGACUCAUCAAGGAUUAUGAAGGCUAUAUAGUGGGGUAGCUGACAACCAUUUUGCAAAACCACGAAAUUUUUACUAUCAUAACCUACAUAAAUCUUUCUUCUUUUAUUUUGCUCCAGUUGAAAGUAUCAUUACCUAUUAUCUAGGUUUGCACCUGCACUAUUACAAGCAAGUAUAGGGAUAUGAUAGUACUUCAUCAUAGCAUUCAUAAACCCUUUCAUUAUAACCCAAGUGUUCCAUAGUCCUUACUACGAGGACGAAGCUCAUGUCAAGUGCUCACUAUCCAGGAGCGAUGGCGAUUCGAAUCGAUUUCUAACCAGCUGGCGAGUUUAUUCCCCACACAAACCACACUCACUGAUCAAGUGAGCUACAGGUCACCGUAUUGCACUAUCCAGGACCAAUUCGCGGGUUCGACAGGCACCACCCGUACCCGAGGACCGUUCCGGCGACCGAGGUAUCCAAGGUAUACCAAGGUUGCGCGCCGCGCCCUCGUCGUUCUCCUCAACCAUCACCAAUACAGCGCGUACAUCGGGCCGAUUCCCGGCCCGGAUAGUGCUCAGGCUUCGCGGUCGGAACGACUUAUCCUUCCAGCUAAAUGUGGGGCAUGCGUUCAACAUGACAAGAGGGCCGUCAACGAUCGGUCCUUAAUCGACACAGGCAGGGGCACUAUGGUCAACCCACCAUAAGACCCUGCCCGGUCCCCAAAUUCAUUCCACACUUGGUUAUUCUUUCCCCGAGCAACCGAUGCUUAAUCAAGCAGGUAUCCACCUAUAUCUCGCAGGUGACAGGAAAUCACCUGACUUCUACCGGACUAAGCAAGCUAAGCAUAGACUCCGUGCCUAUCUACAUAGGACAAGGUAGGUGAACGAGUAGGGAUAACAAGGAGUACAUAUGCAUCAACGCUAUCAAGCAAUUCCUAUCACUUAGAUGCAAUAUAGUAGAACAAGUAUAGUACUUCAUAUAAGUUAGCGAGAAUAGGGAGACUUAGAAUGCUCCGGGGCUUGCCUUUCUCAAACGUGCUGGGUCGGUGAUCCGGACACUCCUGCAGUUCCUCUCCGGGUUCCUAUGCUUCCGGAGGUUCCUGCUCCUAAAUCUCCUCGUGUUCCUCGGGUCCCACCUCGUUCUCCUGCGAGCCUGUAUGAUGCAUGUGUGCUUAUGAGUGGAGUGCGAGAUGCCCGAGUGGAUGCUUGUAUGAGAAAGUACCAGAGGAGUCAUGACAUGAUGCAUAUGUAAUGUACUUAGUCAUGCUCAUUACAAGGUAGUCAACAUCAUCCAAGAACAAAUAAUUGAAUCAAACACCUAUUGCAUUCUCUUCUACAGUUAUUUUUCAAAUGUGACCAGUAACCCACAAGUUGCUUCAAAGAUACACCAAACCCAACUUAUUCUAUUCAACCUAUAUAUACAAAAAUUCAUAAUUUUCUCUAUUCAUUUCUAGGCCCAUUAAAAUUUACAUGCAGUUCUGUUCAUCAAUAAAUUCCACAAAAAUUACAGGAGACUACCAGUCAAGCAUAGAGUCUACUGUAAAUUUUUCAUAAUUUUUGGAUACUUAUUUUUGAGCUACAAAAAUCACAAGAUUAAUUAAUAAGGUAAGUAUAAUUACUCCACUGUGAUAUAAGUGUCAAACAACAAAUUUCAUAUUUUUACCAUUUGUCUAAUAUCAUAAGAAACACCCACAAAAUUUUCCAGAUUUAUUGCAUGAUCCAAUUAAUUAUUAAAAAUCAUAAAUCACUGCCAUGCAAGCAUUCAAAUUACCAUAAAUUCAUUUAUACUCCAAAUAAUAUAUAGCAAUAUUUUUCCAGUGAGUAAAUAUACAUGCAGAGCCAACAAAUCAAGUUUCACAUUUUUAUAAACCAUAUUUUAUUUACUAUGCAUUUUCCAAGUUUAGCAAAAACAUGGAUUAAAUAUAUUCAUUCAGAAAAGUUACUCAAACAUGACAUGCAAUUACAUCAAACUGUAGAUCUGGAAAUAUAGAACACACCAAAAUUUAUUUCAUCCAAUUUGGAGCUGUAGAACUCAAGAUAUGAAUUUUACAAGUUUUGAAUCAAUUUCUGGAGAACUUUUAUUCAAGAAAACCGACGAAAAAGGCUACACACACCCAGAUCUACACCCACCGGGAUCCCCCUGCGACUGACAGUGGGUCCCCGACCCCACCGGUCAGCGAGACCGAGAGGGAGCUCACCUCCGACGAGCAGAUCUCGCCGGCGGUGAGGUCUCCGGCCACGGGGUAAGCACCAACGUGCUCCCCACAGCGAGGCGCACCCAACGGUACCCUUGGAUUGGCCGGAUGAUGACCGGAACACCUCCGACGAGCAUGCAUGGCGGCACGGCGGCGCUGCUCGCCGUGGCCAGGCCGCUCCGGUGCGGUAGAGCGUGCGCAACCGGCUCUCCGAGCUUCCUCACCACCCUACCGACCUAGCGCACCCAAGAACCAGCGAAAUGAGGCAGAGAAACACAAGAUCCGUUGCGGCGGAGCACUCCGGCGAGCUCGGGGUAACUCCGGCGAGCGAUUCACGGCGCUCGACGGACUCUCACCUCGGUAGAACGCGCGCACAAGCUUACCCUAACGAUGGCGAAGGCGCUGGUGCUCUCGGCGGUGAGCUUGAGGCUCUGGUGCGGUCGGCGGCGAGCGGCAGGGCUUUCUCCGGCAAUGGCGCGCGGAGGAGCUGCUGCUGCUGCUGCUGCGCGGUGCGAGCAGAGGGAGGAAGGAGAAGGAGGGCGCGGGGGACAGAAUGGAGGAAAUGGCCUGGGAGCCCGAGCCGGCGUCCCGACCAGGGGGGUUGGAGGCCGGCCGCGGCGCGUCCAACGCCGGCGUACGGCCACCACGUGGCCGGCGCCGGGUGGAGCGAGGCGGGCGCCGCGCGCGCGGGAGAGAGGGGAAAGGGGAGGCAGGCCGGGCCGCUCGCUGGGCCGAAAGGGAAGCGGGGUCGGCCCAGCAGCGCCUGCCCCUUUCUCUUUUUUUUUGAAUUUCUUUUCUCCAAAUUCUUUCUAAAUUCAUUUGGACCAGUUUAAAAUCAUUUUUACCUCUUGCUCCCAAAAACAAAGUUGUUCCAAAACAAAAACUCUACAACUUUGCUUUAAUAAGCAAGACCAAAUUCUAAAUAGAAUUUGAAUUACAAAUUAAAACUUAGUUCUAGGUUUUUAAAUAAAUUCAAUUUGGAAAUCUUGUAUAAAUUCCAUUUCUCAAAUUCCAUGGCUCCAAAAAUUGCACAAAAAUACUCUAAAUCCUUCUUACACAUAAAUCAACCUAUUUUGAAUAUUUCACAUUUUUAGAAGCAAGCAUCAUAUUUUAUCAUAAUUAAAACACAUGAAAUAAAGCACAUAAAAUCAUGUUUUGGGAUGAAUGACAUGCUCAUGAUGCUAUGCUUGAUGAGAAUGCUUAUGCAUGUGGUGAUAGGGCUAAAUGCAUGCUUAACACCUAGGGUGUUACAGUUGCAGUCUUCUCUAUACAUCACUCACAUCGAGAAACAUUCUUUGUAGCCUAAAGGGGUAGUGCAAUAGAUUUUGUUAGUCAGAUGCACCCUUUCUCCCAGUGGUAAAAAUAUAAAUACGAUACUCUGGAAAACCUCCUGAGAGAAAUUCUCACCGAUAUCCAUGUGCUUGCGGAUCAUUUCCUUAUUGCGUUACCAAAUAUCUACAAUGCUUAGGCUGUGGAAGAGCCUUUCUCAAAGGAUCUACAAUAUUCAAAUCCGUAUGUAUCUUGCACAUCUUAAUUUCACCUCGCCUAAUGAAUUCUUAAAUGAGGUGAAACUUCCGCAGCACAUGUUUGUUCUUCUGGUGAUUCCUAGGCUCCUUAGCCUGUGCAAUCGCCCCAUUGUUGUCACAAUGUAGAUUCAAUGGGCUCGAUGCAUUCAGAAACACACCAAGCUCAAUGAGGAACCUCCUCAUCCAAACACCUUCCUUUGCAGUUUCAGAAGCUGCAAUGUACUCAACCUCUGUUGUAGAGUCGGUCACUGAUCCCUGCUUGGAACUUUUCCAGCUUACUACACCACCAUUUAUCGUGAACACAAAACCUGAUUGAGAUUGUAAAUCAUAUGUGUUAGUUUGUAAGCUAGCAUCGGUGUAACCAUUUACAACAAGCUCCUCCGCACCUCCAUAGAUUAGGAACACAUCUUUAGUCCUUCUCAAGUACUUAAGAAUGGUUUUAACAAGUGUCCAGUGACUUUCACCUAGAUUAUUUUUGUACCUGCUUGCAACACUUAGAGCAUAUGAGACAUCUGGGCGAGUACAUAUCAUGGCAUACAUGAUGGAACCAAUUGCCGAAGCGUAUGGAACCUUACUCAUGCGUUUGCGCUCUUCAUCUGAUGAAGGACACUGCUUAUCGCUAAAACACAUACCAUGUGACAUAGGCAAGAAGCCUCUUUUAGAUUGUUCCUGUUGAUGCAAAAGCUGAUCUGCAAACACAAAGGGCUAAUACCCGAUUCAAACGUUAUGGCGUGCCAGCCGAUUUGACCUUGCAAUCGACAAAGGUGGUAACUCGAACACUUUGGUCCCGACAACAGCGAUGCUCCCGGAUGUCAUGGACAAGAGGUGCUCACGCGGAACUUUGAGAACUGUUGGGUAUUCUUAACAUCAUUACCAAAAGUAGACUAAGGUCUCUAAAUCUAGUAACGGUGCCAAAAAUGCCAAACCUAUCCCUCACACCACUUAAGCCAAGUUGUCAUCCCCAGCAUGACAUGAGAGACACGGUAUUGAAAUAUGCAAUUGCUCUUCUAAAUAAAUAAUGAAUGGGAUCUGCAAGCGCACAGAUUAAUACCGAUGUAGCAUUUUAACCGGGAAGUAUUCCAGGUAUCGUUAUUUAUAUUUUUACCACUGGGAAGGGAUUAGCAAUCAUCAAUAUUGAUUACAGAAUACAAUAUGAGAUUGAGCGUCUAUCAUUGCAUGUAUAAUUGAGAACAUUAUAUCUAACUUUUCAUACAGGGAUAAGUGUCACAUAAAAGAUAUAUGAAGUAAUGAAUAGUGACAAAGAUAAUUAGUCUGAUCUAGCCACAUAAUAAAUAUGAUAAGCACCUCAAUUAGAUACUCUAGAAAGUCAUUAGCAUGGUAUUAGAACGAACUACAAGAAUAUUCCCUAAGUUAUUCUCAACUAUAUAGUCUAGUAUUAUCAUAAUUAGUGCAAGCAUACUUAGCAAUCAUUGUGAGACAAGACUACGCCCAUGCAUAGUGAUAUUAGCAAGGAAUAUGAGAAACAUAGCAAUCACUCCCUGUAAUAAUGUUGCUCUGCCAGCCCAAUACACGAGAGGGGGACUAUAUAAGAAUCAAUGAAGCUGUCACUAUCACGAACUACCCCACGAUCUGGCAUAUUGGGUACAAUCGCAGAUAAAUACGGUAUAAGCACCACGCCUACACAAUAUCUAUCAUUUACCCAUGGAUCCGAUGGAUAAACGCUAUACGAUCCUAAGCAUGUAUAUAGAUCCAAUCUAACUAAGCCAAGUACAUAACUAUGAUAAACUAAGAACAAUAUAAUCUUGAAUAUAAGCAAGUAGAGCAAAGUCAUAAGCAAUAUAUUGAAGUAGAACAAAGUCAUAUUCAUAAUAUUGAAGAACAAAGAUAAUUAGAAAGCAAUUAGAAGCACAAUUAGAGAAUUACCAAGAAUCCUCUUGACAGAUCCGGAAACCAAUCAAAGAUUGACUCCUUCUAGUUGUAAUCCUAUGUAGCUAUGCUAAUCUAGAUAUCUAAUUGAUGUGGUGGCUCUAAUCUUGAUCAGGGGCUUCUUCUCCCUUGAAGAAUAAUGAAUUAGGGUUGAGAGGCUCUCUCCUCCAGGGGCCAGGGGGUCUGGUUUUAUAGUCCCUUCAAGUGAAUAUGGGCCGUUGGAUCAAACCGACAUAGAUUGUAUGGUUUAGAUUCAUCCUUUAGAUCGGUGGAGAUCUCCCACGAAGCAGAGUCCUGAUUGGACUCAGGAGGUGGGCGGGCGCCCUGAUCACCUGGGCGGGUGCCCAGGGUUAGGCCCCGUUUCGCCUCCGCUUCAGUCUCGUGGCUUCUGGAGUCUUCUAGAUGUAAGAUAAUUGCGUGGCACGUUAAUAUCUCUAUGUAAUCCCGACGUGUGGGCCUUUCUUUCGUAUUUCCUGAUAACCCCCUGCAGAAAUAGACAAACACCAAAACUCGUGGAAUUCUGUCAGAUAAAACCCUAAGUCUAGAUGUUGAUUUCAUUUGGAUCCUUUUCUUUGUUUAUUUGAUAAUUAAAUUUGAUACAUAAGGACCGUCAACAAACUCCCCCAAGCUUACCUCUUGCUCGUCCGUGAGCAAGGAUAGACUCAGCUAUGGAUCAUAGGUUGUUGCAAUAUCUUAAAAAUUGACGGUACACAUGCUUUUUUAAAUAAGAUCUCAUCUCCGAGUUAGAGUAAACUGUCAAGACUUAAAACUUACUUACUUUACCUUCACCAUGGGACUUGUAACUGUCACUUCUGUCUUGAGUAGUUAAAAGAUAGAACAGUCUAGCCAAGUGCCAUGUCUCUUAUUCUUGAUCAGCUAUAGCUCUGGGAUUUUUGCAGAUUUUCAAAUAAAACUCAGAGAUUCCUUGUAUGAUUCUCUCAGAUCUCUCUUUUGUGGUAUUUCUGGAUCCUUACCAAGGCAGUGAUGGUAUAUGCCUUCUCUCAAGAUAUGUGGUAUUUGUGGUAUGAAGCAUAGUGACAUUAUCUUAUCUCUCACCCUACUUCUAAUAAGGCUUUAAUAUCUGGAGCUCAUAGGUGGGAGAUAAAGUAUACAUACUCACAAGACAUUUAUCGUAUAGUCAAACCAUGGAUCCAAAGAAACAAAUCAAUAAGCCAAAUCAAGAUGUGCAUGUGUUGCGAAUGAAUGGUAUAUGGUGAUGAUGGUGAUAACAAUGGUGGAAACAAUGGUGGUGGAAGUCUAAUUCUACUUUGCUCUUUUGAGGGGAUAAUACCUUCCUUGCUUUUUGAAACUUUAUGAGGAGAAUGAGAUGCUCUUCUUUUUCUUUCCUCUCAGGUGGGUAUCUUGUACCCCUAAUUCUACUAUCGGACACUUGUCCAUUUUUACCUCUCGUCUUACUUUUUUUCUUUUCUUUCGAGGUUCCGAGCACUUGCUCCUUUUUAUUUCCUCGUAUUUUUUCUUUUUUUUAGAGCACUCAUCUCUUGAGAUAAUAUAGCAAGUGGUAGUAACAAGAUAACUUGAGCAUUUAUUUCACAAGGGAAAACAGAAAUAUUUUUGGUUAUUCUCUCCCGGAUUAGGAGUAGAAUAUUUUUGGGUGAUUCUGGAGAUAGAAAUGAGUGGAUAUAUGUGGAUGGUACUUCCGGAGUAGAAGUAGCAUAUAUGAGUGAACGUGCAAGUGAAAUCUUGAUUUAACCACAUGACAAGCUUCUAAGGGUCUACACAGCUUGACCACACUCAAUGCUCAUAAGCAGUAAAUAGUAAAUGUGUGGCUCAAAGUCUAGCAAGCAUGUAUAUAUGGCUGUGGUAGGAAUUUAAACUCUCAUCAUACAGGAACUCAUCAUGCAACAUUUUAAAGAUUUUCAAAGAUAAAAUUCUCCAGAAUUCUAGCAUCUCUAGGAACAGAUAAACAACAGCUCAACCUUCCCAUAUCGUAUCCGUUAACAACUUAGACUUUAGAUCAAGUUUUCAUUCCACAAGUUUAGGUCUAGAGCAAGCUUUAAAUUAUAACAGUUAUGUCUAAACUUGAGAGAGAACUUAAAAUGUUCAAAUUAGGUAGAGCAACUAUUCAUCAUAUCCAUGCUUGAGUUUUAUUUAGAUACAGAUUAGCAUAGCCACUUUAUUUAUUUAUUAAACACACUAAGCAAAAGAUAUAUAUAUAAGCAUAAAAUCCUUAUUUGAUUUUUCCAUAGUUAUGUAUAUUUAUAUUCUAAAAUAAUAUAAGUAUAAAGAUAGACAGAUAGAAAUACUUAUCGAGAUAAAUGGGGGUGCUCUCCCCCAAGCUGAAUUUUGACGUAAUUUCUCUUCAUGUAGCUAGCAGGUGGCAGAAGUGUAUUUGAAAGUCAGCAGCAUUCUGACAGCGAUUAGAAUGUCCUCCGUCUGCUAGUCUUCUUACAUUCUGUGGAGCUCAAAUAGACAACAAAGCUUGUGGAACUGAUUAAGUGUUAGCAUAAAUAUCUAGCCUUUAUCAUGUUGAGACUCCUUAAUUAUUACUCUCUGUUUUUAUAUUUUUAUUUUAUAAAGCAGAAAAAUAUUUAUUUUAUUUUUAUGCCACCACAGUGAAUGUGCUUAUGAGUUUUAUGCCACUCGUAUACUCACAUGGGGCUUACUGUUUUUUUAUAUUUUUAUUUUCUUUUAUUUUUAAGAUAGUAUGAAUAUGAUAAACUAAGUAAACUAUUUAAAAUAAUUGAAAGGGAAAGGAUAACUACCAAGUUUACCUCUUGGCAAAACGUUCGGUGUUUUUAAGUCCUCCGAACAGGACUCUCCAUUUUUUUCAAUUGUCCUGAGGUUCGUUGGGAGGCGUAGUCGGUACUUCCGGCGGCGCCUCCUCUUCAUGUAUAAUUAUCUUCUCUUUCCAUACCUGACUCGGUGCUUUGGUCUCCUCUGGAUAAUUCUGUUUAAACUCUACGUCUUCUGACCUUACAACUUCUCCUUCAUAGUCUGCCCAUCCAUCCUUGAUGAUCUGCCUCCUCUGGUUGCGGUUGCGUCGUUUCCUGACCUGCUUAGAUUCUUCAACGAUAUAGUUAGGGUCAGUAAAAUAACGGCGUACCUUCUCUGAGGGGAAGUGCAUAUGGACUUCUCCGGUUUCAAUGUAGAUAAUUGCUUUAACGGUGCUGAGGAACGGUCUUCCAAGGAUGAUGGGUGGAUCAUACUCAUCUUCUCCUAUGUCAAUAACCUGAAAGUCUGUGUAGACAAAGUGAUCGUCUAUUUUGACUGGGACAUCAGUUACUAUUCCUUUAACUUCUCAAAAUGUCUGAUCUGCCAUCUGGAGCUGAAUGUAUGUUGGUCUUAGUGGCAUGGUUCUGAACAAGAGCUGAUAGGUGACUGCGGCCAUUAUGUUGACGCCCGAUCCGGUGUCACAAGUCGUCUGGUAGAAGUUGUAUCCAUUUAUGGAGCAGUAAAUGCUUGGCGUUCCUGGGUCAUCCUUCUUGGUCAAAAGCGGUGACUUAAGUUGGUGAUCUUGGCCUCCAUGAACUACAGUGACCAUCUUAGCUGACUCGGUCCACACUUGCUUGUUCCUGUUCCUCCUGUUGGUCCUCUUCCUUGAUUCACGUCUGGAUUGAUCUGGAAUUUGUGUAGUCUUGUUCUUGAAGAAAAAUGUCUCCUUUCUCCCUUUGACGUAGAAACUGAUCUUGGCAGCACUAGCGUAGAUGAUAGCUCCCGUGGUGUUUAAGAAUGGCCUCCCUAGGAUGAUAGGUGCUCUCUCAUCAUUUCCAGUCUCUACCACUACGAAGUCUGCUAGGGCAUACAAGGUACCAACUCGGACGCAAAGGUUCUUCAAUAUUCCUUUUGGAAAAGUUAUCGUCUGAUAUGCAAACUGUAAACACAUGGUUGUUUCUAAUAAAGGAUAUGUAAAGAAUUUUUUAUGGAGUACCCUAGGUAUAAUGUUGACACUAG
rnacentral:lncRNA from 1 species